GAUUGAAGCAAAGCUCCUCCUCCUGUCAGUCACUCUCAGUUUCAGUGUUGUAUUAAAUUGCUCCUCCAGCACCUCCUCUCCUCAUCCUCCAAACCCUCCAAUCUGUCAGCAGGAAGCUCACUUUCCCAGUUACAAGGCCAUUCUCAGCACACACUGACAACAUGCUGGGGACCCUCUGCACUCUCAUCACUGCUCUAACAUAUGUUGAUGCAGUGAUAGUGUUGACCCAGACGCCUGCUGUCCACACAGUUUCUGCAGGACAAGAGGUUGUUCUCCACUGCAACAUUCAGAGAUAUGAUGGAAAUUAUGUCAGCUGGUAUAAACAGGUUCCUGGUGAAGCGCCUCAGUAUGUUGUGAGCUUUUACUAUGAGGACGAUUCACUCGACUUUGGAACAGGAUUCUCCUCAGACAGAUUCAACUCUAAAUCCACAUCAAACACAGAUUAUCAGUUCGUCAUUAAGAGGGCAGAGACAGGAGACACUGCUGUCUAUUACUGUAACACAUGGGAUGACUCUGCUGAUGCAGCUGUAUCACAGUGA